CCUACGGGUGGCAGCAGUGAGGAAUAUUGGUCAAUGGGCGCUAGCCUGAACCAGCCAAGUCGCGUGAAGGAUGACUGCCCUAUGGGUUGUAAACUUCUUUUAUCUGGGAGUAAAGUGCAGUAUGUAUACUGCUUUGCAUGUACCUUAUGAAUAAGGAUCGGCUAACUCCGUCCCAGCAGCCGCGUUAAUACGGAGGAUCCGAGCGUUAACCGGAUUUAUUGGGUUUAAGGGGGCCGUAGGCGGGUUGUUAAGUCAGUUGUGAAAGUUUGCGGCUCAAACGUAAAAUUGCAGUUGAUACUGGCAUCCUUGAGUACAGUAGAGGUAGGCGGAAUGCGUGGUGCAGCGGUGAAAUGCUUAGAUAUCACGAAGAACUCCGAUUGCGAAGGCAGCCUGCUGGACUGUAACUGACGCUGAUGCUCGAAAGUGUGGGUAUCAAACAGGAUUAGAUACCCGAGUAGUC
rnacentral:rRNA from 1 species